GUGCCCUACGGGAGGCAGCAGUGGGGAAUAUUGCACAAUGGGCGCAAGCCUGAUGCAGCGACGCCGCGUGCGGGAUGGAGGCCUUCGGGUUGUAAACCGCUUUUGUUCAAGGGCAAGGUACGGUCUUUGGCCGUGUCGAGUGGAUUGUUCGAAUAAGCACCGGCUAACUACGUGCCAGCAGCCGCGGUAAUACGUAGGGUGCAAGCGUUAUCCGGAUUUAUUGGGCGUAAAGGGCUCGUAGGCGGUUCGUCGCGUCCGGUGUGAAAGUCCAUCGCUUAACGGGGGACCC
rnacentral:rRNA from 1 species